GCGGGAGUGGCGGAAUUGGCAGACGCGCUAGAUUUAGGAUCUAGUGUCCCUAGGACGUGCAGGUUCGAUUCCUGUCUCCCGCA
rnacentral:tRNA from 1 species